ACGGGGCUGGGGGUGCGGCGGCUCAGGGCCCGCUGGGCCGGGGGCCGCUCUCCCCGACGCAGGGUGGGGUCACCGAGGAGGGUCUAGGCCGCAGGAAGAGGCGACUUGCCCCCACCAAGCCCGCGUGGGCGAGACGCGGUGCCCGGGUGGGCCAGGAGAGCGUCGCGGUGUGGAGGCCGUGAGGGAAGACAUGCGCCCAGUGAGGCUCUCGGCAAGGGCCGCGGCUGCCCGAGCAGUCCGGGGAUCGGGAAACUUCCCGGAGAGAUGACUGGCCGCGUCCCUGCCGCCUCCCGAGGAGGUCUGGCCCUGCAGGCCCAGCACAGUUGCCCACGUGGAAGACUCUGGAGCCACGACCAAGCACAGCUAACGGAGAUGUCUCCUCGCUUGGCAGGGACUCGCCCUGGGUACCGUUGUACAGACCUGGGACUUAGGAAUGGAAUAAUAAGAAAUAAAACAAGUAAGGGGCGUC